CACGUAGGGCGCAAGCGUUGUCCGGAAUUAUUGGGCGUAAAGAGCUCGUAGGCGGUCUGUUGCGUCUGCUGUGAAAACUCGGGGCUUAACCCCGAGCCUGCAGUGGAUACGGGCAGACUAGAGGUAGGUAGGGGAGAAUGGAAUUCCUGGUGUAGCGGUGAAAUGCGCAGAUAUCAGGAGGAACACCGGUGGCGAAGGCGGGUCUCUGGGCCGAUACUGACGCUGAGGAGCGAAAGCGUGGGGAGCGAACAGG
rnacentral:rRNA from 1 species